AUGCUGGAGGUAUCAGAAGUGCGAAUGCUGACAUAAGUAACGAUAAAGCGGGUGAAAAGCCCGCUCGCCGGAAGACCAAGGGUUCCUGUCCAACGUUAAUCGGGGCAGGGUGAGUCGACCCCUAAGGCGAGGCCGAAAGGCGUAGUCGAUGGGAAACAGGUUAAUAUUCCUGUACUUGGUGUUACUGCGAAGGGGGGACGGAGAAGGCUAUGUUGGCCGGGCGACGGUUGUCCCGGUUUAAGCGUGUAGGCUGGUUUUCCAGGCAAAUCCGGAAAAUCAAGGCUGAGGCGUGAUGACGAGGCACUACGGUGCUGAAGCAACAAAUGCCCUGCUUCCAGGAAAAGCCUCUAAGCAUCAGGUAACAUCAAAUCGUACCCCAAACCGACACAGGUGGUCAGGUAGAGAAUACCAAGGCGCUUGAGAGAACUCGGGUGAAGGAACUAGGCAAAAUGGUGCCGUAACUUCGGGAGAAGGCACGCUGAUAUGUAGGUGAAGUCCCUCGCGGAUGGAGCUGAAAUCAGUCGAAGAUACCAGCUGGCUGCAACUGUUUAUUAAAAACACAGCACUGUGCAAACACGAAAGUGGACGUAUACGGUGUGACGCCUGCCCGGUGCCGGAAGGUUAAUUGAUGGGGUUAGCGCAAGCGAAGCUCUUGAUCGAAGCCCCGGUAAACGGCGGCCGUAACUAUAACGGUCCUAAGGUAGCGAAAUUCCUUGUCGGGUAAGUUCCGACCUGCACGAAUGGCGUAAUGAUGGCCAGGCUGUCUCCACCCGAGACUCAGUGAAAUUGAACUCGCUGUGAAGAUGCAGUGUACCCGCGGCAAGACGGAAAGACCCCGUGAACCUUUACUAUAGCUUGACACUGAACAUUGAGCCUUGAUGUGUAGGAUAGGUGGGAGGCUUUGAAGUGUGGACGCCAGUCUGCAUGGAGCCGACCUUGAAAUACCACCCUUUAAUGUUUGAUGUUCUAACGUUGACCCGUNNNNNNNNNNNNNNNNNNNNNNNNNNNNNNNNNNNNNNAUCCGGGUUGCGGACAGUGUCUGGUGGGUAGUUUGACUGGGGCGGUCUCCUCCUAAAGAGUAACGGAGGAGCACGAAGGUUGGCUAAUCCUGGUCGGACAUCAGGAGGUUAGUGCAAUGGCAUAAGCCAGCUUGACUGCGAGCGUGACGGCGCGAGCAGGUGCGAAAGCAGGUCAUAGUGAUCCGGUGGUUCUGAAUGGAAGGGCCAUCGCUCAACGGAUAAAAGGUACUCCGGGGAUAACAGGCUGAUACCGCCCAAGAGUUCAUAUCGACGGCGGUGUUUGGCACCUCGAUGUCGGCUCAUCACAUCCUGGGGCUGAAGUAGGUCCCAAGGGUAUGGCUGUUCGCCAUUUAAAGUGGUACGCGAGCUGGGUUUAGAACGUCGUGAGACAGUUCGGUCCCUAUCUGCCGUGGGCGCUGGAGAAUUGAGGGGGGCUGCUCCUAGUACGAGAGGACCGGAGUGGACGCAUCACUGGUGUUCGGGUUGUCAUGCCAAUGGCACUGCCCGGUAGCUAAAUGCGGAAGAGAUAAGUGCUGAAAGCAUCUAAGCACGAAACUUGCCCCGAGAUGAGUUCUCCCUGACUCCUUGAGAGUCCUGAAGGAACGUUGAAGACGACGACGUUGAUAGGCCGGGUGUGUAAGCGCAGCGAUGCGUUGAGCUAACCGGUACUAAUGAACCGUGAGGCUUAACCUU
rnacentral:rRNA from 1 species